rnacentral:rRNA from 1 species
UACGUAGGUGGCAAGCGUUGUCCGGAUUUAUUGGGCGUAAAGAGCGCGUAGGCGGUCGUUUAAGUCUAGUGUGAAAGCCCCCGGCUCAACUGGGGAGGGUCACUCGAUACUGAUCGACUUGAAGGCAGGAGAGGGAAGCGGAAUUCCCGGUGUAGUGGUGAAAUGCGUAGAUAUCGGGAGGAACACCAGUGGCGAAGGCGGCUUCCUGGCCUGUUCUUGACGCUGAGGCGCGAAAGCUAGGGGAGCAAACGGG